rnacentral:rRNA from 1 species
CCUACGGGUGGCAGCAGUGAGGAAUAUUGGCCAAUGGACGAGAGUCUGAACCAGCCAAGUAGCGUGAAGGAUGACUGCCCUAUGGGUUGUAAACUUCUUUUAUAUGGGAAUAAAAUGUUCCACGUGUGGGAUUUUGUAUGUACCAUAUGAAUAAGGAUCGGCUAACUCCGUGUCAUCAGCCGCGGUAAUACGGAGGAUCCGAGCGUUAUCCGGCUUUAUUGGGUUUAAAGGGAGCGUAGGUGGAUUGUUAAGUCAGUUGUGAAAGUUUGCGGCUCAACCGUAAAAUUGCAGUUGAAACUGGCAGUCUUGAGUACAGUAGAGGUGGGCGGAAUUCGUGGUGUAGCGGUGAAAUGCUUAGAUAUCACGAAGAACUCCGAUUGCGAAGGCAGUUCACUGGACUGCAACUGACACUGAGGCUCGAAAGUGUGGGUAUCAAACAGGAUUAGAUACCCCUGUAGUC